GGACCGCGUCUCGGGGUGGGGGGACUGGCGCCAAAUGCCAGAAGAAAACGGCAUCAUCACAGAGAACUUAUGGACACUGCAGCAGCAUCUACACCGGUUCUAGUCCAACUGAGGGGAAAAAAUUGGAUUAAAUCUACUUUGGGAGUUUUGACUUUGUUUGGUCAUGACGGAUUUACCGAGGAAACAGUCCCGGCCUAACCAGCAGGAUCAGAUGACACGGGCGAACUCCUCUCUGGCGGCAUCAUUGCACAACACCAGCCAGUACUGAGCUGUCGAGGGGAGGCGUCUUGUCCUACUUUGGACUGGCGUAAAAUGUCAAGAAAAAAAAAAAUUGCCUUGUGCUCUGAUGAAUAUUAAGAUAAGAAUCAUGUUUUUCGGUUCAGUCCAAAAGUUGUAACUACAGCAGGGAGUGUCGCUCUCAGCCGUCCCCUCUGUGAGGAGGCGUCCGGGCAAAGUGUUUCAUGGUCAGUGGAGGUGUAGAGGGAGCAGGGCGUAAGAUGGACAACGAGCGUGUUUAGCUGAGAAGAAGUGAGAGUGUAAAUCAGAUCUGUGAGCAUGACAGGGGGGACGAAAAGAUAAUUAAAAUGGUGUCACACUGCGAAGGCGAGGGAGAGCGAUGUUUGGUGUGCAAAUGUUCAGCCAAUUCAACCUCUGCUGUAUUUUCACUAACUUUAUGGUGCAGAUCAAAUUAAAGCUGGGUUCAUAAAUCAUGACAGAUGCAAAAGAAGAGUGUAAAUUCAAAGAUUUGUUAUGGCAAUUCCUAUUAUUCCUUCAAACUGAAACAGAGGACGGUAGGAUGGUGCGUAAAGUGACGCAAAUGUCACCCUUUACUAUAAUAACAAUGAAAAAAAAAAAAGGGCAACCCACUCGCCCAAGCCCGUCCAAAAUAUGUGGAGCUGCGUUUGUGUUUACAACAGUGGAGAACAGUUCAUCCUCUCGUAUGGAACCACGCCCCAACAGCUAAAACCCCAGCCAAGAUUCAGCACAUUAACCUCAGCCAAGAUGCAGCACAUUACCCUCCUCUGGUCUUUCCCUCCCGAUUCCUUUUGUUUACAAGACGUAGCUGGAGAGAAAACACUUCAGACUGGACCUGUCUCACUCAUUUCAUCUAUUCUUUCUCAGGUUCAUCAUGCCCACAGCAACGCUCUUCCUGCAGUUACGGACAACGACAUGAGGCCCCUUAGCCAGAAACAGUAUCUCUUUUACCAAAAAGUGCCCCCGGCAUAUUGUUUGGCUGCAUAUUUGGUCAAAUUGGACAAAUUGGAGAUUAUGUUAACCUGGAGUUGCAUGAAAAUUUUCACUCGCAGCAGGAAGCCUCAACCCAGCCAUGUUAAGGAGAAAAACCUGUUGCUAUUGGCAACCGUGCAACAUGCAGCAGGUCACGACGACACUGCUACCACUGUGGACAUUUUAAACAUCACAGAGUCUCUUCAUGGCCAUUAAAACAAAGUCCCUUUUGAUUUACAAAACAAAGAAGAAAAUACAUCUUUUGUAGCUGAUUUUUGUGUGUCACCUUCAACUUGAGAGCUGUCACUGCAGUUUUAGGCUAAAAAUCAUUUAUUCAUCUAUUUUAUUACCUGAAUUUCUGCCUAUUUGACCAUGAUCAGCCCCCUUCAGAUGGCUUUCCUUCAUACAAUACAAGUGUCCUUUGCUGUACACGUGUCUUUAAUAAAAACUUAGUUCAUUCCACGAACGAAACACUGAAACACUAAGUAGAGAUUAGUCACGAUGCCGUGCCUGGUACUGGUGACCCAGAUCAUGUCUCAUCAAGUGUAGAGCUUGUAAACAGAACUGUGAUCCCUGGUUGUUUUUGUCAGUAACCAAAGGAACCAAGGAACCUUAAAAAAAAAGAAGAAAAAAAAAGAAAAAGGGAACAUUUUUGACCCCCAAACUGAACAGAACCAGUCCUGUCUUAGAAUAAAAUAAAUUUUGAGCAGCUGAAAUGUUAAUCUUUGCGUGUGCUGAUUGUUAAACAGGUUAUGUUUUUACAGUGAGGGAAAAGAGGUCAGACUUUAUACGUAAACACACACAUGUAUUAUGGUAAAUAAAAGCUUGGACUGGCGUACUAAUCAAGCACUAAUGUCAGUUAGCUACUGUAGCCAAACACAAAUUGAGAGGAGGAGGUAUCUGUGUCCUGUAUUCCUGCAACCACGUGACGCCCAGCGAGCUUUAACAUCCAGCCGGAGGGGAGCUGCUGACUCAGGAUCUCCCCGUUAAGACUGGACGACCACCAACAGCCCAUGACUACUUGAAUCACCUCAGAUGACAUUGGCAUUUGAAGAACAACAUAAAAAGGUCAGAAAAAGCGAUGAGUGAGGAGAUCGGGCAGCGACACAGAUACAUCUGGAGGAGGAAAAAGACCAUUUAAGGGAAGCUAAUCAGUGUUAGAAGAAGGACCGAAACUAUGUAGUGUGUAUACUGAUGGACAGCUUUUGCUAUUCAUUUUUGUCUUGUCCAGUUUGUUUGUCAUUAAAAUGAUUAAAUAUGUCAUAGUAUGGAAAAGAUAAAAUAAAAUCAACAAUGUUUUGUGUCCCUGCUAAUAUUUAUCCGUGCCAUAACUCUACUGUGAGAACUUUUCUUUCUUUGCGGGCACGCUUGCUUCAUGUUGUGUGUUUUGCCUCUCUGGAACUGGAAUAAAAAUGCUUGACUGUGUGUAUAACUGAGAGUCUCGGUAUAUAUGUAUAUAUUUUUCUCUUUCAUUUAUUGUUCUGGGUAUGACAUGGAUAUAAAUGUAAUUAAAUCCUAGAAAUAAAACAAAAUAAAGUGCAUGCAUGAUCUUA